rnacentral:lncRNA from 1 species
CCCGUUGCUCUUUUAACUUGUUUUGGAAAGUGUUAGUUAUUGUCCCAAAAUUAGAAAAUCCCCCCUUUUUUAAGCAUAAAAAUUCAUAACACGGAAAUGUAAAAUCUGAAAUUUAUAAAAAUUGAAAGGGAGCUUACAUCAAUAGAUAUAAACAAUUCACCAAAGUUUCAUGGACAUUGGUGAAAGCCUUUUUGAGUUAUUGUCCGAAGUGUUAAAAAUUCCCCUUUUUUUAUGAAUAAAGCCCCAUAAAUCCAAAACUUAAAAUCUGAAAUUUAUAAAAAUUGAAAGGGAGCUUACAUCAAUAGAUAUAAACAAUUCACCAAAGUCUCAUGGACAUUGGUGAAAGCGUUUUUGAGUUAUUGUCCGAAGUGUGGACGACGAACCCCCUUUUUUAUGAAUAAAGCCCCAUAAAUCCAAAACUUAAAAUCUGAAAUUAAAAAAAAACGAAAGGGAGCUUACGUCAAUAGAUAUAAACAAUUCACUUAAGUUUCAUGGAAAUUGGUGAAAGCGUUUUUGAGUUAUUGUCCGAAGUGUGGACGACGGACCCCCUUUUUUAUGAAUAAAGCCCCAUAAAUCCAAAACUUAAAAUCUGAAAUUAAAAAAAAAACGAAAGGGAGCUUACGUCAAUAGAUAUAAACAAUUCACUCAAGUUUCAUGGAAAUUGGUUAAAGCGUUUUUGAGUUAUUGUCAAAAGUGUGGACGACGGACCCCCUUUUUUAUGAAUAAAGUCCCAUAAAUCCAAAACUUAAAAUCUGAAAUUAAAAAAAAAAACGAAAGGGAGCUUACGUCAAUAGAUAUAAACAAUUCACUUAAGUUUCAUGGAAAUUGGUGAAAGCGUUUUUGAGUUAUUGUCCGAAGUGUGGACGACGGACGGACAGACGGACGGACAACGGUAUACCAUAAUACGUCCCGUCUAAAAGACGACGGGCGUAUAAAAACGAAA